rnacentral:rRNA from 1 species
UAAGGAAUAUUGCGCAAUGGGCGACAGCCUGACGCAGCGACGCCGCGUGGGGGAUGAAGGUCUUCGGAUUGUAAACCCCUUUCGGCAGGGAAGAUGGAACGGGUAACCGUUCGGACGGUACCUGCAGAAGCAGCCACGGCUAACUUCGUGCCAGCAGCCGCGGUAAUACGAAGGUGGCAAGCGUUGUUCGGAUUUACUGGGCGUACAGGGAGCGUAGGCGGUUGGGUAAGCCCUCCGUGAAAUCUCCGGGCCUAACCCGGAAAGUGCGGAGGGGACUGCUCGGCUAGAGGAUGGGAGAGGAGCGCGGAAUUCCCGGUGUAGCGGUGAAAUGCGUAGAGAUCGGGAGGAAGGCCGGUGGCGAAGGCGGCGCUCUGAAACAUUUCUGACGCUGAGGCUCGAAAGCGUGGGGAGCAAACAGGAUUAGAUACCCACGUAGUCCCUGAGCGGGCUGGCAAGGCGCAU